rnacentral:lncRNA from 1 species
ACUUGGACCGAUACUGAAGCCGAAAUAUUAUUGCCGGCUAUACUGACGGUGCAGUUGGCUGUAUCACCUUACUGAGUCACUGACAUUUGUACUAAAGUCGCCUAUCGUCCCGGACGAAUUUUCUACGGUCAUCACGGUCCACACUGAUCGCUGCAAGGUGUCACUACUGAAUGAUCCCAAUACAUACUGACCGACUAA